rnacentral:tRNA from 1 species
GCAGUAGCUUAGUGGUAGAGCACCCGCUUCAUGUGCGGGAAGAUCUGGGUUCGUCGAUUGCCGGCUGC